AAAACAUGCUGGAAAGAGGCACCUUAGAUGGUUUCACUGGACCUCUCAGAGGAUCUGGAGGGUACUACAACACGCAAACAGGGACUUGAACCCUGGACCCUCUGAUUAAAAGUCUGACGCUCUACCGACUGAGCUAUCUGGGCUCGAGGAGAGAGAGCGCACUUUACCCUCGAGCUUGUAGGUCAGGCCUGUGGACGCUCUAGUUCAACGGUUCUCACAGACAUAAAUGGUGCUCAGCCCUUGGCUUGGAAAGGGCCCAUCCCAUCUGGUUCUCAUGGCUUUCUACAAACUAUUAACACAGCUCAG
ensembl:lncRNA